CUUUUUCAAAAUGUGGCGGUGGCAGGGAAGGUUGUCUGCUCCAGAGGCUUCCCUAGAGUGAAGAGCUCUACUAUGUAUGCUUUAUGCGGCAGAAGGAGUGCUUUGGAGGAGUUUUUAAAUUUGUUUUUUUUUUAAAUCUUAUCGGUUUUAAUUGUAGCAAUGAUUCAAGAAACGUUAGUAGGUGCCCAUAACUUCGGUGGUGGAGAUCCAAAAGUGAACAAGACAGUGUUCUGGCUGCUAAAUUCUUCUUAACUGGUUAUGCCUGGAGACCUUCACUUGGUUCUGUGCCAGCACUGCCCAUGAACUUCAUAGACUGUGAUCUUUGCUAAGGCCUAAAUGAAUGAAGGUGCAGGACCGGAAGCAGAAGACAGAAAGUGGAGACCAGAUGUUUGAAGCUGGGUAAAGGCAGGGAUGGAGCAGGAACCGAGGAACAAACCUUGGAACUAGGUAAGUUUCCUGAGGCCUUCCCAGAAGUAGAAGCCUGCACAGUCCACAGAACUGUGAGUCAAUUAAACCUUUUUUCUUUAUAAAUUACCCAGUCUUAGGUAGUUCUUUAUAACAGUA
rnacentral:lncRNA from 1 species